rnacentral:lncRNA from 1 species
GAGGCGACAAGGUCGGUCCUCCCCCGCCGGGCCUUCCCCGCGCUCCCCGGCGCCCCCAGCCCGCUGACCCCCGGCCAGGCAGGCCCGCGGGGGAGGCAGGACCGGAGCCCUGAGGCCCUGGCCGGCCUCGGGGUUGAGGCUCAGCUCGGGAUAAGUGAUCUUUGGGGCCCGCAGAGGACGUCUCCCCAAGACCCAGUGGCAACCGGGGCACCACUGAGUUCAGUACUUCAAAAUUGCCGUGCUCUACCUCUCCCCAGUGCACAAAAACACUCUCCACACCAAGCUGCUGCUGCUGGGGGAUGGAGGGAUGGCGUCAGCGAUUCAAGACUGUUUUUCCUACCUGUUCAGCACUUCUUUCAGCGAUAUGAAGUUAAAUCCAGGCCAAGUUCCCACCUGGUGGGAAGCACUGUGCAGGUUCGUGGGGAUGCAGCCCUGCACAGCCCAGACUGGACUCCUUCCCCAUGGAACUCACAACACACGGGAGAGGCAGAGAGAUCCAAGCGCACAGAAAAACACAAGAAGAUUCAGCCCUGUCAUCUUGUGCAAAUCCUCACUGUCCCCAGAAGGAAGAGAGGCACAC